rnacentral:piRNA from 1 species
UGCCAAGGAUAAAUGUAGAAACACGUUCAGU